GAUUUCAAUUGAAAAAGUCAUCAACAACAAAGUUGAAUAACUCAUCAAGAUCUAAAACUUUUAUUUUGGUCAUUUCUUCAUACGACAAAGUGAUAGUAACAUUGUUCACAAAAUUGACAUCUCUUUUCUGUUUUUUUAUAAACUAUAACACAUAUAUGUAAAAUUUAUGAAUAAUAUUACUAACAUUUUGUUGGAUAAAGAAAUAACAAAAAUAAAAGUUCUAGAUCUUGAUAAGUUAUUCAACUUUGUUGUUGACGACUUUUUCAAUUGAAAUC
rnacentral:pre_miRNA from 1 species